UGAUUCCUUUCGUUAUGAAUAGAGAUGAUCAGUGUUCGAUCAUCGGAAAUCUAUUGGGUCAUGCAUAGGUCCCACUCCUUUUUAUGUCACAUCACUUGUCGAUUUCUGACACGUGGCACGUUAAACGUCUCCAAAUCUCUUCCCCGUACGUUUCUCCCUCUCUUUUCCCUGUCUUAAUAAACUCGUCUUUGCCUCUUGGUCUUUCAGAGACAAGCACCAGAUAAAUUUGGAGCAAACCAUAGCAGAAGAGCAAGGAAACCCCCGUAGAGGACCAAGGGAAAUAUUAUCUAUCCCAAAACAAAUACAUAUACAUUUGUGUAAAGGCGGUGGUGGG